AUGAUAUAAUUGUUUUAAAAUAAUUAUAAUAUAAUAAUUCAAGUUAACAUUUUCAAGAAAUAUUACAAAAAGUGGUUUGUUACAUAAGUUUUCUUGUUCAUAUAACUACUAAAAUACAAAAAUUUCUAUUAUCACGUACAUUUAUAAUCCAUUCAAAUAUCACAAAAGAAAUAGGCCAAAGGAAUAAUCAAAGAUAAUACGCCUAAAACAUUGAAAAAUAUAAAAACCCAUUAAAAUCUUAAUUCCACUAAUUUUUCAUUUUCUUAGCUAAAAAAUAUUAUUUAAAUGAAUCAAACACAAAUUACACAACAUAUGGAUAUAAACCAUAAACGAAAUAAAUUAUAAAAUAAAAAUCAAACAAUGGGCUAAGACAACAAAAAGAAUAAAAGCUCGCCUAUCAUACAUAAUGUACCAAGUGAAUUGCCUAGUAUGCGUUGGCUUGUAGUUGGGCACUUGCUAAUCAACAUGUUGCUUCUGAAGAAUCAAUUUUUGCCAUUCAAAUAUUGCAUUUUCAUGCAUCAGACUACGAGCAAAUAUCUCAAUAUCUUCAUGUUCUAACAUCUUCCUUUGCACAUCAAGAAAUUGUGGUCAUGGAGUUUGUUCUAAUAAUCAGAUUUAGGGUCAGUUCUUCAUUACUUUUAAAAAGUACUUUUGAAAAGUGCUGUGAAAAAGUGCUUUUCAGAAGUGCUUUUGAAAAAUUUGAGUGUUUGGUAUUAUUGUCAAAAAGUGCAUUUGAAGAAUAAAAUGUCCAUUUUAGACAUGAUAUUAUAAAGUAACAAAUAUGUAUUUAAAUAAUGUUCAAAUUAGUUAAUAUUAUGAUAUUUUAGCAAAAAUAUAAAAAAUAAUUUAUUAUAACUUAUUGUUAAUAUUUUAAUAUAUAAUAUUAAUUUUAAAUAUUUCUAAGUAAUUAAUAUUAAUUAUUUAUUAAAUUUAAUUAGAAUAUAUAAACUAUAUUUAAAUCUUUAAAUAUAAAAAUUAAAUAUUUGUAAUUAGAUAUUGACACAAUUGUAUUAUUAUAAAAAUUAUUUUUUAUUUUUAAUUAAUGCUUUUAACACAUUUGUAUUAUUUUAUUUUAAAAUGUAUUUGAAUAUAUAACUCAUAUUAGAUAUUAACAUAACAUAGAAAACAUAAACCUAACAAAUUAAAAUAUUACAUAUAUUUGGAUUAAAGUUUUAAAAAGGGAUAAUAUUUAUAUACCAAAUAUAAAUACUAAAAAUUUUACAAUAACAUUUACAAUUUAAAGUGAAUUCAUUAAAUUUGUGUUAUCUUUAAAUAUUGAAUUGCUAUUAAUAUCUAAUUUGUGUUGAAUAUCUAAUUUAAAUAUUGAAAUGCUAUUAAUAUGUUCUAUUACUUUCUUUGGUGUCAUCUUUAAAUUUGUGUUGUUACUGAAUUUGAAGUUGUCCCAAUAAAUUGAAUCAUAUGUAGCUUUUCAAAUCAUGGAAAAGAGGAGAUUUUGAGAUAAAAUCAGGACCAGCCUUCACAUGAAUUUUCACUAUUCUUGUUUAGUAUAUCAAGUUUGAUGAAUACUGUAAUGGAACAAUGUUGUCAAAUAUUUGUCUGGAGUCCUUAAAUAGAUGGUUUUAUUGCUGAAUUUGGAUGGAAAAUUCUUAUGUUGUCUACCCUGUCAAUUUGCCCUCAUUAACAGCUCAUCUUCAAGCUUCAGUAGCCCUCAUUAAUAAGUUAAAUGUCUCCAUUUUCAGACCUUUAGAACUUGAACACCAAAACCAAAAGAAAAUCUAGUUUGUAUCGUAUAUACAUUUCUUCACUUCUCCUAUGAAUUAAACCUAGAGAUCAAGGAAGCAAAUCAACGGAUAAUUUGGGUACUAAUUUUCCAAGACAUCACCAGCAGUAAAAGAAAUCUGAAAAAAAAUGGAGUUACUCAGACGAAAAAAAAGAUAAACUCACUGGUUGUGGAGAAGAGGAACAAAGAACCAGAGACUUCUUCAGUGGAGAAGAGGAACAAAGAACUAGCAGAGGAACAAAGAACCAGCACCAGCAGAGGAACAAAGAACCAGCGAUGAGAGAAGAGAUGAGAGCAAAGAACCAGCGUUGUGUGUGUGGCUAAAAAAGUAAAAGACCAGCCCAAAAGCACUUUUUGGCUGAAAAAGCUAAAAAUUUUUGCUUUUCAUUUGCCCAAAAGCACUUCAAAUAAGUUAGAAAUUUGCUACCAAAUGAAGUCUAUUCUUUAUUGCUUUUCAGAGAAAAUCACUUUUCCAUAUAAAAG
rnacentral:lncRNA from 1 species